rnacentral:rRNA from 1 species
ACUCCUACGGGAGGCAGCAGUAAGGAAUAUUGGACAAUGCUCGCAAGAGUGAUCCAGCCAUGCCGCGUGCAGGAAGACAGCCCUAUGGGUCGUAAACUGCUUUUGAACUAGAGAAAACCCUCCUACGUGUAGGAGGCUGAUAGUAUAGUUAGAAUAAGCAUCGGCUAACUUCGUGCCAGCAGCCGCGGUAAGACGAAGGAUGCAAGCGUUAUCCGGAUUCAUUGGGUUUAAAGGGAGCGUAGGUGGACAGAUAAGUCAGUGGUGAAAUCUCCGAGCUUAACUCGGAAAUUGCCAUUGAUACUGUUUGUCUUGAGUACAGUUGCUGUGGGCGGAAUAUGACAUGUAGUGGUGAAAUACAUAGAGAUGUCAUAGAACACCGAUUGCGAAGGCAGCUCACAAAGCUGUAACUGACACUGAGGCUCGAAAGUGCGGGGAUCAAACAGGAUUAGAUACCCUGGUAGUCCGCACCGUAAACGAUGAUUACUCGCUGCUAGGGGGCAACCUUUAGUGGCUUAGCGAAAGCGAUAAGUAAUCCACCUGGGGAGUACGCCGGCAACGGUGAAACUCAAAGGAAUUGACGGGGGCCCGCACAAGCGGAGGAGC